rnacentral:rRNA from 1 species
UACAGAGGGGGCAAGCGUUAUUCGGAAUUAUUGGGCGUAAAGGGCGCGUAGGCGGCUUUAUAAGUCGGGGGUGAAAGCCUGUGGCUCAACCACAGAAUUGCCUUCGAUACUGUAGAGCUUGAGACCGGAAGAGGUAAGUGGAACUGCGAGUGUAGAGGUGAAAUUCGUAGAUAUUCGCAAGAACACCAGUGGCGAAGGCGGCUCACUGGCCCGAUACUGACGCUGAGGCACGAAAGCGUGGGGAGCAAACAGG